rnacentral:rRNA from 1 species
UACGUAGGGGGCAAGCGUUGUCCGGAUUUAUUGGGCGUAAAGGGCUUGUAGGUGGCCACGCCAAGUCGAACGUGAAAUCCCCGGGCUCAACCCGGGAACUGCGUCCGAUACUGGAAGGCUUGAAUCCGGGAGAGGGAUGCGGAAUUCCAGGUGUAGCGGUGAAAUGCGUAGAUAUCUGGAGGAAUACCGGUGGCGAAGGCGGCAUCCUGGACCGAGAUUGACACUGAUGAGCGAAAGCUAGGGGAGCAAACGGG